rnacentral:lncRNA from 1 species
CUGUCUUACUCAUUCAAAUUCAAAUUGUCUGUGAGCAUGAAUUUUCGUGGCCAUGGGACAAAAAACCCUGUCUUCAGCCGAACUAAGGAAAAGUCCCGCAGCAGUUCCUCCUUAGGGACUCUUCGAACGCACUGUCUUAGCCCAGGCUGCCUUAACAAAAUACCAUGGACAAGGUGGCUUGAAAAACACACAUGUAUUUUCCCACAGUUCUGGAGGCUGGAAGUUGGAGAUCAGGGUGUCAGCAUAUUCGAGUUCUGUGGAGGGAGAGAUCGCUUCCUGGCUUGUAGACAGUCACCUUCUCAAAAUGUCCUCACAGGGCCCUUCCUCUGUGUGCAUGCGGAGAGAUCGCUGGUCUUUCUCUUCUUAUAAAGACAAUGGGCCUACUGGGUUAAGGCCCCACCAUUAUGAUCUCACUUCACGUUUAUUACCUCCAUACAGGCCCCAUCUCCAAAUACGGUCACGCUGGGAUUUGCCCAACAUAAUGAAUUGGAGGGGAGCGGUGGGGCACGAUUCAGUCCACUGCACACCGUUCUCCUCUCCAGACCUCUCACUGGCAAGUCCUUUCAUCUCAAUUUCAGUUCUGUGAGGCCGUCCUACUAUUGUCUAUCACCCUGUUUGAUUUUUUUGUAGCCUCAUCAUUUAUUCAUUACAGUUUCUUAAGUUCUUUUUUUUAGGGAGCUUGUCAUUGCCUAGAAGAGUGCUGGGCACACAAUAGUGAUACUGAAUAUACAACUAAAAUCAUGUAAUAUAGCACAUGAGAUUCUUAAUGCUAAAAUUAAGACUUUUUAACAUGAAAAAUGCUCUUAAGGGCAGAAAUGAAGCAAAUUUCAGGCAAGAUGGCAGACAAGACUGAAACGGAUUCAUCCAUCAACUGCUACAGACUUAAAAAACAAAAUAUGCCCAAUGCAAAGCUGAGCUCAGGAAAUCCUCAGAUGCUAGAGAUAAAGACAAAAUCCAGUUGCAGAAGUGAGUUCCAGGUGAUGCCAGGAGACCCCAGGAAGUAUCAGAUUAGGUCACAAAACUAGGAAUAAGGUUUUAAUGUCUUCAGAAAAACAGAGCAUUUGGUGAGAGAAGGGAACUAAUCCGAGACUCCCGCAUACAACCAGGACACUUGAAGGGCUGCCUCACCUGUGAAAAAGAAACUGGAAAAAUCUCUUCAAAUCUGUCUGUGGAAACAGAAAGACAGCCUGGUGUUUGACAAAGCUCUCGGUGGGACAAACCUCCUCUGAGAAAUGGAAACCUAGGAAAUCAAAAGCCCAGAAAUUAAGGGAAAGCAUUAGUCUCAGAUAAUGAAAAGGAAACCCUUGGGGCCCGGGCCAAAGCAAAUGUAAAAACAUGAACACUUGCAUAAUCUCGUACAUGGGACUCACAGAAAAUGCAACCCCUAAUAUAGAUGAGCUCGCAAUGAAAAAUUAUCCACCACUGUGGCAAUGCAGUCACCAAAAGGAAGACUCAACAGACCAAUGAGCAUAGACACGAGCUGUGGAGGUAACAACUGGAAACAGAAGAAUAAAAUCUCAAGAUAAAUAAUUUAAAAAUACUUAACAUGGAAAAAUAUUUCACUUAAAAAAUAUAACUUUUAGAAAAAAUAUAGUAUCAUUAACUUAAAAAUUCAGUAGCUAGGUUGAACAAUAAAUUCACCACAAAUGAAAAGAGAAUUAGAGAUCUGGAUCACGGAGCUGGAAGAUGAAUGCAGAGGCAGCACAGGGAGGUAAAGCAAUGGAAAAGAUCGCAGGGAGUCCCAAGACCCGGGAUGCUCCCUCGAGUCACUCACAGGAGCUCCAGAGGAAAGGACAGAUCAUGGGGAAAGGCAAUAUUUGAAGCAACAAUGACUGGGAAUUUUUCAUAAUUAAGAAAGAUGUAAAUAUUCAGAGGGAAAAUGCAGAUCUAGACACUUUUCAGAAACACUAUGAAACUCCAAAGUCAAGGAAAAGAUUAAAAGCAACUAGAAACAAAAGACAGUUUACAAUAAAAGAUCCAAAUUAGAUGGAAAUUACAUGUCUCAUUAAUAAAAUAGAGGUCAGAGAAAAGGGUAAAAAAUGUUCAACAUGCUCAAAGAACAAAAGUUAUUCAUCUACAAUACAACUUAGUAAAAUUAUCAUUCAAAAAUAAAGACAAAUCAAAUGUAUUUGACUAAGACUGAAGGGUAUUUUUUUAACCCCUGGAUCAUCAACUUUACCAAAGGAUAAAAUUUAUUAAAAAUAUGAUCAGCUUGUCGAAAGAAUGAAUCAAUGACACUCUGUCUUCGUGGAGAGCAGCCUGGGUGUGGAAUCAGGCACCCCCGGGUUCAAAGCCAUCACUGGCGAACUCACAAAGAGUGGGACUCACCGACCUGAGGGUUUGCCAGCACACUCGUAGCCCGCGGGACUAGAGUAUUUGUGAGAGAGGAGUGUGGUCUUUUGAUUGAAGAACAGAAGUCAUUCGUGAAGGACACAGCACACACAGCCCAGAGAGCUCGCAGGUUAAAACUGCACAUGGAGCAAUGUCUGCCAGCCAUUCAGGGUACUUCAAAAUAGGUCAGAAUACGUUUCCAGAAAGUGACACCUUCUUUUUGGGUUUGCGUAUAAUAAUAAAUCUAGGGGAUAAGAACAUAAAAGACUGGAAACUUCUUUUGUAUUACAAUAAUGUACUUCUAAAUGCAUUUUGGGUACAGACAAUUCCAUGUUUAUGCAAUGACUGUAGAUACAUAUAUAAGCUGAUUAAAUAACAGGAUGUAAAAUUUAUUGAUAAUCACAUUUAUCAACUAAACCUUGACAAGUUUUUAAUGAAAAAUUAUUAUCUGUGUAGUAGAAUCUCUGCUUUCAUAGUUUACCCGUAGGCCACUCAUCUAAGUGUGCCUUUUUUUCUCUCUCUCUUUUUUUUUUUUUUACAGCAAACACAGUAUUCACAAUCAAGUUAUUUAGACCUUUUAGAUUGUAUACAAAUGACAUAGAAAAAUGUACAGCCAGUCCACUGGGUUGUAAUUUUAGAAACAAACAUCUCAAGUCAUAAUAAUAAAGUAGAGUUUUAAAAAGUUACUAGGUUUUCUUUAUUUGCCAUAAGAAAGACUGAACUUCUUAGUAUGUAGUUUGAAGAGUAUUUUCUUUAACUCAUUGAAGCCUACAGA